UACAGAGGUCCCAAGCGUUGUUCGGAUUCACUGGGCGUAAAGGGUGCGCAGGCGGUCGUGUGUGUCAGGUGUGAAAUCUCGGAGCUCAACUCCGAAGCUGCGCCUGAAACUAAAGGACUAGAGCAGUGGAGAGGGUAGCGGAAUUCACGGUGUAGCAGUGAAAUGCGUAGAUAUCGUGAGGAACACCAGCGGCGAAGGCGGCUACCUGGACAAUUGCUGACGCUCAGGCACGAAAGCGUGGGGAGCAAAAGGG
rnacentral:misc_RNA from 1 species